rnacentral:sRNA from 1 species
UUUGUGCUGCCCGAGUGCCUUCCCCCUGGGGUCAAGGGGUAUAGGGGGGCAGAAAGAGAGGCAGACACACCUCUAAAGGUCAGAAGGAAGUCUGGGCCUCUGUGGGGUCUCCCUCGGUCUAGAGCCCUCCUUGGGGCUUCUUCAGAGUGGCCUCUGUUGCGCCCACUUUGUAGAAUUGAGGCAAUUCUUAUUAAAUAACUCCUUGGUCGGGCUCUCUCUCAGGCCCCGGGUCCUAUGCGCAGGCCCCCUUCUCCCACUCAGGACAGCAGCACCCAUCCCUGGCCAAGUCAUCAGGAGCCCAACCUGCGCCUGGAGCUGUGCCCAUGAGCCUCUCACUCUACAUCCUCUCUCUCUGUGCCUCUGAUCCCCUCAGGCCUUCAUCCUGAACAAUAUUAGGCCCUGUCCCUUCCUUCCCAUCAGAAACUUAGAGGGCCUGGGGCUUGCCCCUCUAGUCUCUCUGCAGGGCCUGGCCUGGGAGGGCUCUUGGGUGUUCAGAGGAGGUCCCCAGCAGCUGCCUUCUCUUCUCUCCUUCAGAUGAACAGGCCGAUCCAGGUCAAGCCAGCCGACAGCGAGAGCCGAGGAGAAGACCGGAAGCUCUUUGUGGGGAUGCUAGGGAAGCAGCAGACAGAUGAGGACGUCCGCAAGAUGUUUGAGCCCUUCGGGACCAUCGACGAGUGCACUGUGCUCCGGGGGCCAGAUGGCACCAGCAAAGGCUGCGCCUUCGUGAAGUUCCAGACCCAUGCCGAGGCCCAGGCGGCCAUCAACACCCUUCACAGCAGCCGGACCCUGCCAGGUGCCUCGUCCAGCCUGGUGGUGAAGUUUGCUGACACCGAGAAGGAGCGAGGUCUUCGCCGCAUGCAGCAGGUGGCCACCCAGCUGGGCAUGUUCAGCCCCAUCGCCCUCCAGUUUGGAGCCUACAGCGCCUACACCCAGGCCCUGAUGCAGCAGCAGGCGGCCCUGGUAGCGGCUCACAGUGCCUACCUCAGCCCCAUGGCCACCAUGGCUGCCGUGCAGAUGCAGCACAUGGCUGCCAUCAAUGCCAAUGGCCUCAUCGCCACCCCCAUCACCCCAUCCUCAGGUAUGGCCUGGGCAAGGCCGGGCAAGGGAACUAAGCAUGGUAGGGGUAGGCAGGGGCACAGGGCAUCGCUCAGGGAAGCCUCGGGGUCUGGGAGGGACUCAGGAGUCAGAGAGGCCUGCUUCCUCCCCUCUGCCCACAGACUUGCUGACUGGUUCUCUGCCUGUGUGUGUGUCUGCUCCUCUGCUCUCUCCCUGUCGCUUUCUCCUCCCCAGGAACCAGCACCCCUCCUGCCAUCGCUGCCACGCCUGUCUCUGCCAUUCCGGCUGCCCUGGGCGUCAACGGCUACAGCCCGGUGCCCACCCAGCCCACUGGGCAGCCUGCCCCUGAUGCUCUGUAUCCCAACGGGGUUCACCCCUACCCAGCCCAGAGCCCUGCGGCCCCCGUGGACCCCCUGCAGCAGGCCUACGCGGGGAUGCAGCACUACACAGCAGCCUACCCAGCAGCCUACAGCCUGGUUGCACCUGCGUUCCCGCAGCCUCCAGCCCUGGUCGCCCAGCAGCCCCCACCACCGCCUCAACAGCAGCAGCAGCAGCAGCAGCAGCAGCAACAGCAGCAGCAAAGAGAAGGCCCUGAUGGCUGCAACAUCUUCAUCUACCACCUGCCCCAGGAGUUCACUGACUCAGAGAUCCUCCAGAUGUUUGUCCCCUUUGGCCAUGUCAUCUCAGCCAAAGUCUUUGUUGACCGGGCCACCAAUCAAAGCAAAUGUUUUGGCUUUGUGAGUUUCGACAAUCCGGCCAGUGCCCAGGCUGCCAUCCAGGCCAUGAAUGGCUUCCAGAUCGGCAUGAAGCGCCUCAAAGUCCAGCUAAAGCGGCCUAAGGAUGCCAACCGGCCCUACUGAGGGUCCCCAGGUCUGGAGAUCCCAGAGGAAGGGGCGCCUCACACCCUCUUCCGACUGGCCCUGGCCCUCUCUGCACACCUGCCCUGGGCCUUGACUGGGUUCUGGGGCAAACGCUGCUUCGUGGCCCCAGGGGGCACAAGACACCGGCCCCUCCCACCCCCCUGCCUCUCUGAAGGGCCGUGGCUACGCUUCCCUGGAUCCAAGGGCCCAUUUCCUCCUAGAUGCCCUUUUGGCCUUUGUGAGGGAGCGAGGAACAGGCUCGAAGGUUCCGGGGUAUCUGCCUUCUGCUGGGCUCCUGUGACAGGCCUUCUGUGCCCAGCGUUUGUACUUGCCUCCCCCACCAGUGGGCCUGUUCUACCCGUGCAGGCCCCAGGAGAGCCGCAGGGGCCUGCCACACACUCCCAGCGCACCCUCACCCCAGCCUCUUCCCCACAUUAGGGGUUUCUUGGAAGCUGGCUCUCACUCCCCUCCACCCUCAGCUAGAGGUAGGAUAUCCCUGACUCCUGGGCUCCCAGCCCUAAAACUCACUGCCUCCCCCAAGGGCCCCCUCUAAGGAGGGUGUGGGGGAGCCCUGAGGGCUGCCUCUCUGCCAGUCAGCCACAGAGACCCUCCUCCUUUCACGAGGAAAAGACCUUCCCCUGAACCCCUAAAAAUGUUUACAGUCUCUGCUGGUUCCCUCCGUGUAAAUACCACUACCACCCGUGCGUUAUCCAGCCCGCCCGGCCUGGCCCGGACGCUGCCAUCUCUCUUUCUGGGAGUUUAGACAAUGUUGCCCUUGGAUUUUUUUCUCUCUCUUAAUUUCUCCCUUUGCUUUGGGGGGUAAUUGGGUAUUGGGAGGAGGGGUGUGGGGAGGGGUCAAGGGGUUUAUUACCUGAUCAUUUUCUUUAGGAAGAGGUUUUAGGGAAAAGAAAAUGGGGUGGGGGUGGGAGUGGUAAGGGGAGACCGGGGAGUCAGUUUCAGACAGUUCUCUAUGCUUAACUUAUUUAUUUAUUGCAUUUUACUUUUAAAGAGUUGGUCUUUUCUGUCUAAAUAAAGAAAAAAGUUUAAAAGC